CGGGUACGGAAUAAGGUCGAUUCCGGAGAGGAGCCUGAGAAACGGUACCACAUCCAGAAGCAGCAGGCGCGCAAAUUACCCAAUCCCGACACGGGGAGGUAGUGACAAUAAAUAACAAUAUAGGGCUCUUUUGGGUCUUAUAAUUGGAAUGAGUACAAUUUAAAUCCCUUAACGAGGAACAAUUGGAGGGCAAGUCUGGUGCCAGCAGCCGCGGUAAUUCCAGCUCCAAUAGCGUAUAUUAAAGUUGUUGCAGUUAAAAAGCUCGUAGUUGAGCUUCAGGCCUGGUUGGGCGGUCUGCCUCACGGUAUGUACUGUCUGACUGGGUCUUACCUCUUGGUGAGCCGGCAUGCCCUUCACUGGGGUGUUGUCGGGGGAACCAGGACUUUUACUUUGAGAAAAUUAGAAGUGUUCCAAAA
rnacentral:rRNA from 1 species